rnacentral:lncRNA from 1 species
CCGCGAUAGGAUUUAUAGCAAUGGAACAGACAUUGAUGCUGGAUUUGCUAGCACUAGAAGACGUCAAUGUCCUCAAGAAGAUCAAAAUGGAAACCUAGCUCCACUUGAUUUGGUAACACCUAAUCAAUUGGACAAUAACUACUUCAAGAACUUGAGGCAAAGAAAAGGUCUUCUUCAAUCAGAUCAAGUUCUUUUGAGUGGAGGAUCUACCGAUGAUAUUGUCAUAGAAUAUAGCAAUAGCCCUCGCGCAUUUGCCUCUGAUUUUGCUGCUGCCAUGGUUAGAAUGGGAGAUAUUAGUCCUCUAACAGGUCAAAAUGGUAUCAUAAGAACUGUUUGUGGCUCUAUAAAUUGAUAUUUCAAAAGCCUAUACUACUUGUAUGUUUUUCCAAGUUUAUUUGUAUUCUUUUGAUUCUUUUUCUAUGUUGUAUUAUUUCGGAAAUGAAUAAAAUCUUCGUUAUGUUUUAAGUUAGUAGUAAAGUUCUAGCUAAUGACUUGGAUCCAAUUUAAUACAUAAUCACACAAAUCUUUUGAUAUACAUAAAAUGGUAAUUUAAUAAUAAUGAAAACUAAUAUGUUAUCACAAUUUAAUGGUUAUUCAUAAUAUAAAUAAUUUUUCAUACUAUCAGCAUAUAUAAUACUAUUAAAAUAAAAUUUUUGGGUAACUUUAGAUCAAGAUUUAUAUUAUUGUAAUUUCUUUUUAAAUUUACCUGAUCAUGAUUUCAAACACUAAAGUGGUAAAGUUUUAAAUCGAUAACAUAUCAAAAUAAUUAAAAAAUAUAUUAAUAAAUAGCGAUUAAUGUAGUCAUCAUAUAAAAAUGAAUUAAAAUGAGUAUCUCUUUCGUAAUAUAUGUUAUUGAGCAUGGAAAAAGAAAUGUUCUCCUAAAAUAAUAUUAAAUGACUUUGACAUUUCAUUAUUUUAUCCAAUAAAGUAAAUAUCAUCAAAUCAUUGAAAUCAGAGGUCAAUAUCAAAGACUUGAUGAUGUAUGACUAUAUAAAUAAUUAUUAAAAAAAAAAACAAAAAAGACUUUGUAAAGGAAGCUGAUCAUUAGAAAAAGAAAAACUUUUAAUUUAUAUAAUACCCAAAUUUGACAAAUGUGAAUUCUUUUGACAUUAAAGUAUUAGAUGCUGUCCUUUUUGUUUAUUUUUAAUCAUUCCACAGUCCAAUUUUUACAGCGUGGUGUUCUACACAAGUUGCCUUGCAACCACUUUCAUUGAUUUAAAAAAAUUAAAAAUAUAAAAAAGUAAAUAUGUGAAGAAAUUUAAAAAUUUAAUAUCUACCAUAUAAAUAUUAAAAAUAUUUUCAAUUUCACAUACACAUACAUGCAUAUAAUUGAUAUAUUUUUUGAAAUCUCAAAUUUGAAAAAUAAAUUUGAGGAGUAUUUCAAGUUUCAUUCUUAAAUUUAGAUUUUUUUUUUCAUUCCACCUAAAAUUCAUGUCUAAACACAAUACUUAUUUUUACAACUUCACCGCCGUACAUGUAUCAUUUUAGGGUGAUUUUGUUGGAAUGUUGGCCAUAACUUUCAUGGAUGUGACCAUAACAUUCCAUGGAUGUGCUCUGUAAUUAACUUUCAUAACCUCCAUAGAUGUAGUUUGUAAUUUCCAUGGAAGUUGCAAUUAUAACUACAUCCACUACCUACGGAAGUUACCUACAACUACAUCUAUGACUCCUUAACUAGUAUCCCACGACUUCACUACUCCCACUAACUUCCCACGACUAUUCUUGAUAGUAGAAAUGCUUAUAAAUAGGAAACAUAUUUGGUUAAAAUUUUCUAAGCACAAAUCUCUCUCUAAACUCUACACCAUCCGGAGUGAGGUUUGAGUGUCGGUGAAAAACAAACGACGCAACGAUUCCAACUACAUUACUAACAAUGACUAAAGAUAUAUCUAUCUACUAUUCCUCUGCGCUAUUGCUCUAUUUUUCCUUACAAAUAUACUAAAUAAAUUAAAGUAAGUACUCUAGAAAUUGAAAAAUUAAUAUGAAUAAUAAAUAUUAUACCCUAGAAAGUUUCUUAAAAUGUUAAAUCAUUGUAAUACUAAAAUUUACUUACCAAGUUAACUUUGAGAUUAACGCUGUGUAGCAGCCAAUAGUGACCAAAGUAAUUAACUUAUUAUGUUCACAUUUAAUCAAACUAUUUUAAUUAUAAUAAAUAAGAAUCAUAGUACAACUAACAUAUAUAUUUAUUUAAAGUGUAUUGGAUCUUAUAUUAUUCUUGAGUUUGUAUAAUAAUAAAACAAGAGAAAAUAUAUUGUAAUGAGGUUUCAAUUCACGUAUUGUGUGUAACGAUAUGCUUCACUACUUUUUGUUAUCAAAGUUCGAUUUUAAUUCUAUUAUUAUAAUGAUAUAUUUAGUUGACCUUUGACUUUCAACAUAAUGCCAAAUCUAUGUUAUUCGAAAAUGACAUUAAUGCCAUUAGUUGUAAUACAAAAAUUUAAGUUGAUAUGUAGUCAAAAUUAAUUUAUAAAAAAAAUUUAGUAAAAUAUUUUUUAAAAUAUAUAUUUUUAUUUGAAACUUUAUAUAGUUAUAAUAAAAUAAAAAUAGUUAGGUUUAUUUAAAACAUAAAGAAUUACCAAAAAUUAAAUAAAGAAAUUAAAACGUAGUAAAAUUUGAGCUAUUCUGCUUUAUGACUUAUUUUAGUCAAACUCAUUUUAAUCCAAAUAACUUUAUCUAUUACAUUUAUUAACUCAUAUCAUAUUGACCCGUCUGAAUUCAAUCUACCGACCAUCCCUUUGAUACUCCUAAAUUUGAGUCAAAAUUAUUGAACUCUACCAAUCUCGUAUUUAUCAUAUUCGUUUCACCUAACACAAUUGGAAGCUAUAAGAAUAUCACGGAAAGAGGGUUCUUAUUAAUAUUAAUGAGGUCAUAUAUAACCGCGCAAAGUGCGAGGAGAUUACCUAGUUAUAAUAUAUAAGAACUAAAGUAGAAAACCAUAUAUAUUUAUUUAUUAUGACAAGGAAAAUCUACAGCCAAUACCCUUUGGGUGCGCACAACGUAAAUUUUCACUCCUAAAUAAUAGCUCGUAAAUCACAUAAAAACGACAAUCCGCAUUAGACAAGUUCGGUGCAAGGAGCUCGACCCAAAAGACAAAUUCCUUGCUUUUAAGAUCUCCGACAUGAACAUUAUUCUCGAGUGUAUAAUUAUAAAAAUUUAAGCGAAAAUAUGUUGUAAUUAAUGUAUAAUGUUGCACAAUAUGCAUGCUUGCUAGCUGGUGCUUCACUACUUCUUCUUAUCAAAGUUCGAUUUUAAUUCUAUUAUUACAAUGAUAUAUUUCGUUGACCUUUGACUUUCAACAUAAUGCCCAAAUCUAUGUUAUUCCAAAAUGACAUUCAUGCCAUUAGUUGCACAAGUUAAGCUGAUAACGAAAUUGAUAAAUAAAAAUUUUUAUUUAAACAUUUUUAAAUGUAUAUUGUUAUUAUUUUAUAUAAUAUAUUAUAUAGUUAUAUUAAAAAAAUAAUCGCUAUUAAGAACAUAAAGAAUUACAUAAAAAAUAAACAAGAAAACUACAACUUGGUAAAAUUUGAGCAAAUCUAUAUUUUGACAUAUUUUAGUCAAACUCAUUUUAAUCCAAAUAACUUUACCUACUAUUUAUUAACUCAUACCGUAUUAGAACAAGUCAUAGGAAGACAAAAUAGCAAUAACGCGGAAGACAGUUGGAAGCCAAUAGUGACCAAAAAGCUUUAAAAUAACAUGUUUUUAUGCCUAUAAAUAUUUGAGUGCCACAUUCCCUCAUCGCAUCACAAACCUAAUAACCAUCUAUAUUUCUCAUACAUCAACAUAUAUAAUUUUGCAUUUUCAAAAUGAGUAUUUCAAACAACUCAUUUCUUGCUAUAUUUUCUCUUCUUUUACUCUUUAGCAUGCAAUGCCAUGCACAACUUUCUUCCACAUUCUAUGACAGAACUUGCCCUAAUGCUCUCAACACGAUCCGUACAAGUGUGAGACAAGCAGUGUCACGUGAACGUCGCAUGGCUGCAUCUCUUAUCCGUCUUCAUUUUCACGAUUGCUUUGUUCAGGUUGGUUAGACUAUGAUAUCUUUUUCUAGCUCUAUGUACUAAUUAAUUCAUGUUAGAAAUCAUUCGUUUGAUUUGAUAAUGUACUAAUUGAUUUGUAACUAUAAUUUUAGGGUUGUGAUGCUUCUAUCUUACUUGAUGAGACACCUACGAUCGUCAGUGAAAAGACUGCAUUGCCAAAUCUUGGGUCAGUUAGAGGGUAUGGUAUUAUAGAAGAUGCAAAAAGAGAACUUGAGAAAACAUGUCCAGGAGUCAUAUCAUGUGCUGACAUACUUGCAGUUGCUGCUAGGGAUGCAUCUACUCUCGUAAGUAUCCCCUAAGUUGAAUAUCUUUUCUUCAAAGGAAAAACUUGUUUAUGCUAUAAGAAAGAUGUUAUCCAAAACUAACCAAUAUUACGCUAAUAAUAAUCAGGUUGGAGGUCCAUCAUGGACAGUGAAACUUGGAAGAAGAGAUUCAACCACUGCAAGUCAUACUCUUGCUGAAACUGAUCUUCCUGGUCCUUUUGAUCCUCUUGAUAGGCUCAUUUCUGGCUUUGCCAAUAAAGGCCUUAGCACAAGGGAUAUGGUUGCUUUAUCAGGUAAAAAUAUAAUUGAUCAAAUGAUUAUUGAACAUAUAAGAUUAUAUCGAUCAUAAUAUUUGUAUAGACAAGAAGUUCUAAUGAUUUCUAUUUUUUGAAUCUAGGAGCACAUUCAAUAGGUCAAUCACAAUGCUUCCUCUUCCGCGAUAGGAUCUAUAGCAAUGGAACAGAUAUAGAUGCUGGAUUUGCUAGUACUAGAAGACGUCGAUGUCCUCAAGAAGACCAAAAUGGAAACCUAGCUCCACUUGAUUUGGUUACACCUAAUCAAUUGGACAACAACUACUUCAAGAACUUGAGGCAAAGAAAAGGUCUUCUUCAAUCAGAUCAAGUUCUUUUGAGUGGAGGAUCUACCGAUGAUAUUGUCAUAGAAUAUAGCAAUAGCCCUCGCGCAUUUGCCUCUGAUUUUGCAGCAGCCAUGAUUAAAAUGGGAGAUAUUAGUCCUCUAACAGGUCAAAAUGG